GAAAUGCGAUAAGUAAUGUGAAUUGCAGAAUUCAGUGAAUCAUCGAAUCUUAGAACGCACAUUGCGCCCGCCAGUAUUCUGGCGGGCAUGCCUGUCCGAGCGUCAUUUCAACCAUCAAGCCCCCGGGCUUGUGUUGGGGACCUGCGGCUGCCCGCAGGCCCUGAAAACCAGUGGCGGGCUCGCUGUCACACCGAGCGUAGUAGCAAUCACCUCGCUCAGGGCGUGCUGCGGGUUCCGGCCGUUAAACAGCCUUACAAAACCCAAGGUUGACCUCGGAUCAGGUAGGAAGACCCGCUGAACUUAAGC
rnacentral:misc_RNA from 1 species